CUCGAAGACAAUACAAAAUUACAAUAACAAAGCAAUUACGUACAUGAUUGACAGUUAAUACAGUGAACCUAUUUAUAGCUAAUUAUAGCAUAAUGUCUCUGUCUGAUAAUGUAACGAUAUAUUAAAAUGUUAAUUACUCUGUUCAUAACACUCCCCAGGGUUGAGCCGUACACAGUGCUCAACAAUACUCCCCAGUAUAAUCGUAACUAGAAAUAUGAAAGUUUCACGAACUACAGUCUGUCUAACUGUUCGCAUAAUCGGUUUCUCAAAUAAUUAAUUAACGGAUCAUGUUUAUGUCUUCCUUUGAAACUCUUUCAUCUGUUCCAGUCUUCGCAAUUCACCCACUACACAUUCUCCUUGCAUAUUCUCCGUGUUCCUAGCAGUUCGUUUAACUUUUAGUUCGUUGACAAACCUUAACACGUACGCUGUUACACGCAACAGCUUAGCGAAGCUGCUGAAACGGUCACAACUUAUGAUAUCGUUCAGAUUCAGUUCAGCUGAUUCUUCUUCUUUCGUACUGACGAGUGAAUGAAUAACCGUCUGCGGUUUCU